UAUAUACAUGGGGCUUAAAUGGCAGGAGUGAGCGCACAUUCCUAUUGACCUCAAUCAAAUUUCAUGGAAUCCCGUGAUAUUCUUCGUUAUCACUUUUGGGUAUAAUCAAAACUUUCCUUUCUGCUCCAUUCCAGUUUCAAAUUGAUGUAUUCGUUUUGAAUUUCAAGCUUCAACUCUUCUGUAUUAGUUGUCUUAUUCCCUUAUAAGAAUUUUUGAAUUCAAAUUUUAACAAGAUUCUAUAUUUACAUUUCUCAUUAAAUUUCUUUCCGUUCUCCCCUUUCAAAUUUUGAACAUGUGUUUUCAGUUUUGUAUGUGUUAUCUUUGUUCAAUGUUUUGAGGAUGUUUUGGAUCCUUCAGAGAAACAACUGGUGGUCUUUGAUUCUCAGAGGGGUCAAGGGUCCUGCGGGUGUUAUGACGCGGGCGAGAGCGGCGUUGGCCUUAGGGGUUCGAUUAGGAUUGUCUUAUUCUUGCUCUGAUGAGGAGGCUCUUCAAGGACAGUGUGGACAACAACAGAGGCCAUGGCAAGUUUGUCUCUGUCGAAAAAAUACUCACCGAGCAGCAGGUGUUUGAGAAUGGCUACUCCAUGAACAUAACAAUGAAGAUUGAGUGGUUUUGCUAGCGAUAAUUCAACUUCUUCAUUUUUGUUUUGGUAGCUGUGGAUCUUCUCAGAAAAUUGUUGAGUAGUCGAAAGGAACCAAAACAUAUUCCUGAUCUGUUAUUGGCUUCUGACAUUUGUUGUGAGAAUUCCAGUCCAGCACUCUGCUUCAAUGUAAAGAUAGCAUACCAAUGUACAAGAGACUUAUUCUUAUUUGACAAUAACUUCGAGGGAGCCACUAGAAUAGUGGAUCAAAAAGGAGUCAAGAUGAUUUCUGGUCACCCCAGUGGAAGGUUCAUCUUUCAGUUCUAUGCAAACAUUAUUGAACAAAUAGGGUACUUGGGGAAUGACAAAGGAGGAAUCACUCUAGGAUGCAGAGGAAUCGUGUGUUGCAUGUUGUUGAUGUCCUUCAUCGAGGGAGGGCUAAUAAGUCCAAGUGUUUGGUCGAGACAUGAAGCAGGUGUUUGAAGAUAGAUAUUUGUCACCUGAAGAUUUUCAAGCCCCAGAAAAAGAAGGCACCAGAGAUAAUCUUUGGGGGCUCCCUGUCAAGGAACUUCCUUAAAAUUUCCAGAAAAAUGCUUAGCUUGGUAAAUGAUGCAGUUGAACCUAAAACCUUUCGGCUACUUCACUAGAGACUACCAGUCUACCACUGAAUUACUUUUAUCUCGAGAUCUCUUAAUUAGUAAUGUAGACUCCCCUUUCCUGUUUGUUAAGUCUGAUCCAACUUAUUGUUCAAUACACACUUUCCUAUUUGGAAGCUAUGCUAGAAUCCAUUUAUUUGUCAAUAUCAUUGUCUUAUGAUGUCGAGUACUGGACCCAUGACCUCAUGAUGACUACAAUACAUACAAUGUAUUUUCAAAUUGUUAGUAUUAGAUUAGAUGGGAGGACAAUUCAAGAUUUUGUUGGUGACAAUAAAAUUCAAAAAAAAGUAUUGCACUUUAUUUGA